rnacentral:lncRNA from 1 species
UUCCUUCAGUCUCUCCUCGUAGGGCGUGUUCUCCAAGCCCUUCACAAGCCUUGUUGCCCUUCUUUGGACCUGCUCCAGAACCUCCAUGUCCUUUCUGUACUGAGGUGCCCAAAACUGAACUUAUUAUGUGAAAGAAGAAGAAAACUGUUGGAACUGAAAGAAAAGUUCAAAGUCCAAGGGCAUCUUCAGAGAAUAAAAGAUACAACCUCUUACCCAGCCAAAAGUAGAAAUGUGCACUGUUUGUUUGGUUUUUACUACCGUGAUGCAUCUGGACACAGGAAUGACAGCUUAUUGUGGUUGCUGACUGAUGAUCUCCACAAAGGUCCUGGGCUUGGGUUGGUCCCUCAGCCUGUUCUACUCCUUUCUGAAAAGGGUUGCUAUGAAAUGGCUGAAUCAACAGGAUGAGGUUUUUGUUUGUUUGCUUUUCUUAAUCCACGUCCAUUGUUUAUUUUCUGGGUUUGACACCAAUACCUAUGAAGACAGUGAGAUCAAGUGCACCAUCAUCAAUGUUGUGGAUGAUAUUCAGCUGUGGUGCAUGUGACACUCCCAAGGGAUGGGAUGCCAUCCAGAGCAAUCUAGAGAGGCUCUAGCAGUGGACCCAAAAACCUCAUGAAGCCAAGUAUGAGGUCUGACACCUGUGUUGUGGCAACCCCCAGUAUCAGCACAUGCUGGGGGAUGUAAGGAUAGAGCACAGCCAUACUGAAGGGACUUGGGGGUACUGGUGGAUGGCAAACUAAACAUGAGCCAGCAAUGCGCCCUCACAGCCCAGAAAGCCAACCAUAUCUUGGGCUGUAUCAAAAGAAGUGUGGUCAGCAGGUUGAGGGAGGUGAUUCUGCCCUUCUACUCUGCGCUGGUGAGGCCCUCACCUGGAGUACUGCAUCCGAGGUGGAGUCCUCAGUACAGGAGAGACAUGGACCUGUUGGAGCACAUCCAGAGGAGGGCCACAAACAUGAUCUAAGGAGUGGAAGACCUCCCCUACAAGGACAGGCUGAGAGAGCUGGGCCUGUUCAGCCUGGAGAAGUGAAGGCUGCAGUGAGACCUGAGAGCAGCCUUUCAGUAUCCAAAGGGGGGCUGUAAGAAGGAAGACAGAUUCUUUAGCAGGGUCUGUUGUGACAGGACAAGGGGAGGUGGUUUCAAACUAAAAGAGGGGAGAUUUAGAUUGGAUAUAAGAAAAAAGGUGGUGUUUUUUUGGUUUUUUUUUUUUUGUUUGUUUGUUUUAAUAAAUAUGAGAGGGGUAGUGAAGCACUGGAACAGAUUGCCCAGAGAGGUGGUGGAAGCCCCAUCCCACUCAAGAUCAGGUUGCUCAACCUGAUGUAGCUGUAGGUGUCCCUGCUCAUUGCAGGGGCGUUCGACUAGAUGACCUUUAAAAGUCUCUUCCAACUUAAAUGAGUCUAUGAUUCUAUGAAGACAGGAGCUACUGAGGACUUCUGUUAGCACACUAGAUGUCCUACGUGACUUUGAAUGGGGGAGGAGGAAAGGAUUUGGCUCAGAUGUAGCAAUUUGGAAGUGUGCUCAAACGUGAUAAGGCCAAGGUGGUGCAAUUACUGGGGUGCAGUCAGUUUGGGAUUGUCCCGUGCUUGUUGCUCUUCCUGUGGUUGCUAACACUGUGCCUGGUGGCAGUGAUGGGUGAGGCAUUCUGUAGUGUAGCAGGGCAUCUGCGUGCGUGACCUAGUUCAUUACCGUACUGAUUUAAUAAUUUGGAGAGGUAUUACAGCAGAACAAAGAGUUUGCCUACUUCUUCAGAUUAACGAGAUCUCUCUCUUAAAGCAGGGGAUUAAAAGGUAAUUAUUCUGUAUUUAUAUAACAAUCACUUGGAGUGGUGCAUGCUAGAUAGUUUAUCUGUCUUUUCCUUAAGAUUGUCUCUUGUUGCUUCAUUUUGGAAAGCUAUUAUGUUGCUGAGAAGUUUUUUUUUUAAUUAUUUUUUUGUUUAUUUAAUUGAUUAUUUUACUUUGAAUAUAAGAUCAAAUUGUUUUUAACUCUGUGUACAGAAUGUAACCAUUAUAGUUGUGCAAACAGAAACGAAAGCCUUGUUUUGUUUAUUUUGACCCAGUAACCUGGAAGACAUUUGAGGUGACUCAAAAUCUCUGUAUUUUGGUUCAAAUUGUCCUUAAAUUUUGUCUGUGGGUCGUGUGCCUUCUUCUGUAAUGAUUUUGUACCCAUCCUUAUAAGCCCAGCAGGUCAGCCUUCCUGGGCAACCAAAUCCCAUGUAAAAGAGCCACUGUCCCAUGUGUUGCCUUGUUUUGUCACUGCGGAUCUCAGUGGAAGGCAGAGGUAGAGAUGUGGGGACCUUUUUGCUGUAGAUCCUGGAAAGCAGAAGGGGGCAGGGGUAUGACAUGGAAAUGGUCACCUGGAUGCACCGAGAUUACUUUGUUUGAGUUGAGGAGGGCUUUUAAGUCUUCUGGUAGAAAAACUUCCUCCUCACCGCCCCAUCUUCACUCUCAGGUGGGUGGGUUUUCCUACCUACACUUUACCAGAAGUGUUGCUUUAGCUGCUGUGCUUUACAAGAAGAAAAUGUUUCCUGUGGAAAACUGAAAUUGCAUACAGAAACCCACGUUUGAUUUCUCAAUUUUGAGUCUCUGUUCUCUUUCAGCAAAAAAAAAAAAAAAAAAAAAAUUAAAAAAAAAAUCUGUUUUGUUGGGCUUUUUUGUUUGUUUGUUUGUUUUGUUCCGCUCAUUCUGUUUGAAAGAAAAAAGAUCCAAAUAGUACUAUUCAUGACCAUGUAAAACAUUUCAACUACUUUUCUUGGCAAGCAGAGAGAACCUCAGGGAGUUGGGAGGUGGCAAAGGAAGAGGAAAUGGAGGGGGAUUUAAAAAGCUGUCCUCUUUGAAGUAGUAGUGCAGCGAGAUUACAGACCUUUUGAGGUUCUGAUACCAAAACUCAUUUCAACUGUUGAAUGACAGAAUGGCUGCCCCUGUUGCAACAUCUGAAUAUCUGUGAGGAAACACCUGAGACUCUUGUUUGCUGACUUCAUGCAGUGACACACAUAUACUCUCCCCAUCAGGCCCACACGUCCUCAGCUGCCACUGCUUUUCUCCAUCAGCAGGUAGUUAUUUGCGUAGAUCAUAAGGGAAAUGGAAACAGCUUUGUGUUGCUUGGUGUUCUUGUUAUGCUUGGUAGGAAGCUUCCAGGAAACGCACGGAGCUGUCAAGAGUGUAGAAGAUGCAGAGUCUUCCUCUUGAAGAAGAGAGGCUCAGAUAGCAGCAGAUAUGGCAGCCUUUAGGUGCUGCGGAGAAUGAAUUGAAGUCAUUAUGAUAUUAUGGCAGGGAUCUGCCAACCUGUCAGCUUUUGAUGGACAUAGUAACUGGUGACAGGAUGCUGCACGAACGCCAGCCGGUUUCUCGUUCUGUCAGCGCAGCAUUGGCGCUGCCAAGGGAUUGUUACUUACUCAAGCUAUUGCACAUGGAGAGAGCUGCUGAUCAAUACUGCGUUCGUGUUUGGUGAUUAUCAAACCUGUAUUGGUCUUUCAGCUGGGGGUGUGCUAUGUGAGGAAAGAAGUGGUUGAAAGGGCUGAAGUGUUGGUUACAGGUAAUUCUUUUAAAUUAAAGCAUAAACAUUCUCAGCACUUCGCAACCUGCGAGAUGUAAAUAGCUUCCUGACAGCUUUCCAGCAUCAAUUUCAUUUGGGAGUUGGCUUGCUGGUACCCUGAAAUGAAGGGGAAGAAAAACCAAAAGUAUUGGGAAGUGUUGUUUUUUAUAUAUUUAGCGUGGCUCUGUUUGUUUCUUUAACGCAGCACUGAGUGAGCAUCCCAAAGACAUGAUUUUACAGCCCUGCUGUGACUAAACACCUCCCAAAUGAGUCUGAAAGCAGGUUCUGAAAGUGGAGAUGCAGCAAAAACAAAGGGAAGACUUGAAAGAGCGAACACUGACAUUAUGCAAGAUAGCAGAUGAGAAAUGAUUCAAUAAUGGUUACAAGCACUCAUACAAAGGAAAAAAUAACACAUUCCCGCUUAACAGUAUUGAUUGUGCAUUGGAAAAAUGAGCUGCAGCUUAUUGCAUCCAAGUUGUAGAGAGUACCAUCCGCAGAUGAAGGGCGGGGGGAGGGGGGGCUGUGAUGGAGAGCUUUUUGCUAUGUGCUUAGACAACAAAGUAACGCAAGAAGGAUUAAAGGACUUCUCAGGUGAGGUCAUCCUCCAUUUAAUGCUGGUUGAGAAAGCACAGGCAUCUUGUACUGUUUGUUGAACGUAUUUUGGAGGGUUAAGAUUAUUCCUGCCACUGUAUCCAGUGUGAGUGAUUGUUUAAAAAGAAGAUCAAAGCUCCAGUCUUCCGUUGGCAAUUCUUUGAAAGGGAGCGUGCUUUUUGUUGUACUGUGUCGUAAUUCCUAGUUUUAAGUGUGCGAUGGUUUACCAUCUCUAGAACAAUGCUCAAAUUACUUAUUCAGGCAAAAACUGUGAAGUCUGGGUGACCUAAUUAUAGAUGUCUAAAUUGGCAGUCCCAUGUCCUGGUAUUAAGUAUUCCCUUACUCAGAAGAGCUGAGUACUUAGAAAUCCCAUUGCAGUCAACGGGAAUUGCAGUAAUAAGCACUUUGAAAGGCAGGCUCUCCUUGUUAAGCACUUAAACUUGAUGGUUUAUAGAGAUACCUGAGACUUGAAGAGUGUUCGCCUAAAUUAGUAACCUAGUUAAUAUCUCCUGAGCCAAUUAACUGUUUGAAAAAUAUUUGCGGAUCACUGUGAAAACUUCAUCUUUAAUAUGAAAUAAUUUUCAAAUACAGUGUUUUUUUUGCUCGGAGCAGAUGAGUAGAAUUUGAUCAAGUGUUUUAAGUACUGCCGUAUGGAAAAAAAAUGGUGACUUCUCACAUUAAAAUCAGAGAUUUCAGUUUUUGUUAAAUCUACCGCGACACGAUUCGACUCACGCUUAAUAUGUAUGAGUAGCUUUGAAAAUAUGAGUGCUCCCACUGGACUUAAUCAGAUUAUUUAUGUGUGUGAAGUUAGUCCGUUGCGUAAGUGUUUGCAGAACUGGGGCUUGUGUAAAGUUCCAGUUAACGACUUAGGUUUCUUUUUGUUCAGUUCUUAAUAACUUCUUGAAAAUUUCUGAAAAGCCAGUAUUUACAGCGCAGCCCACUCUCUGCAUUCCGUUUCGGGAGUGAAAAUCAUUUCGGGUCAAAUUCUGUUUCUGCAGAAGGAGGGGAAAAAAAAAAGGAAAGUAGAAAGGAUUUUGGCUUUGUGUAUGCUUGGUCGUUGGUACAAUGGAUUCAUUCAUAAAACCUUGCUAAGAUGUAUGCUGGUAUUUUUUUUUCCCCUCUCAUUGUAAAGUGUAGGCGCAAGUUUUCCUGGGGAAUAACAACACAAAAGCCUUAAUUUAGAGCUGUAAUUAUGAAAUGCUGACUUGACCAUUCAGAGCAGGUAAUGGUUUUAUACAGAGCGAGGAGAGGGAUGAGGCUUUUUGCUAAUGCAGGCCACUUCAGGACAUUAUGAUGCGUGUGCAUCAGGUAUUUGUAUUCGGGUAGCGUACAACAGAACAUGUAGAAAUGGUAUGACAGCAUCUUUUAGAAAAGCAUAUUCAUAAAAUAGUUUUAAAUAGAUUCUGUAAUACUGCCAUACAGUAUGGACAAACCACACGACUCAGAACAUCCUAGAUUUCCUCAGACAGUAUAAAAUGCUUCAUUGCUAUUAAAUUUUAAACAGGAUUCAGUAUGUGUCCUUUUAAAUAGAUGUUCUAGGCAAUACCUGGAAGUUUAAUGGUUUCAGACACUUUUUGGCUUGCUCUGCACACAAAAUGGGGCAUCUUCAAAGCAGCAAUUGAAAAUGUACCAAACCCUUAUGAGCUAAAAUAUGGACAAAAAAAAUACUUCCUUCAAAAACUCACUCAGUAACAGCUCUUUACUGUGUGUGUGUAUAUAUAUAAUAUAUACAAUAUAAAUAUAAUAUAUACAGUAUAAAUGUAAUAUAUACAAUAUAUAUAGUGUGUGUAUAUAUAUAUAUAAAAUCAUGUACUGAGAAGGAAAGAUAUAUAUAUAUAUGUAUGUUUUCCUGGUUAUGCAUUCUUUGGUAUAUUGUGUUAAAUUAUCUGAUUAUUCCUUAGAUUAAAAAAAAAAAAAAAAGGCAAAUGAGAAGACAUGUAAAAACAUAGCUCAAGUUUCCAAGGGAACUUCCAGAAUUAGGUGCUUGAUUCUCUUUGAGUGCUUUGAAAAUUUCAGAUUACGCUUCUCUCUGUGUAACUGUGGUGCAUCUGUGUAAGUGUAUGAAAUAUGCUGGAUUAUAAGCCUGGCAAUAUCUCUUUCAUGUCAAAUGGGAAAAGAAAAGCAAGCUUUCAUUACUAGAAAACCCCAAGCUGUGGUUGCAUUCUAUUUUACUGGUCUCCUAUGGUAAACUUGCAUAAUAGUCUGUGGAGCUGGAGUGAUGCUUCUGUAAAAAGAUGAGGUUGGCUUACAAACUGUAUGGAGGAGGGAGAUGUCUUCAUGUGGCUGGAUGCAGGAAUGAGCUGACCUCCCAGAGACAUUUGAUCUGGGGAACUCACUGUACCUAGAUACUAUCAGAGCCAAGCAUUACAGACUGAGUAAUUAAGAGGUUAUGUCAUAUGCCUUAUGGCGUAAGAGAGCUACAAAGAACAGUAAGUUAGAGAGACAACUUUUCAAACAAGGACGCUUCUGAAUUACUCUGUGUCUUUUAAAGUUAGAGGCAUCGGUCUCACCUUGUCUGGCAGUUCUGAUGUUGAGCGAUGACUGUUUUUAGAAAAAGUGUUUUUUCCUGUGAAUUACUGAUGUCGUGCUUCAGAUUUUGAGGAAGUGUCCUCACGAUGAUGCACGUUCUGUUAUCUUAGCACCAAAUAUGAAUGUUGUAUGUCAUAAACUGGCAGUUAAGCUCUAAUUCAGCCAAAUGCAGCAACACAGUGCUUGCAAUUUCUCUGACGCCCCUCUAGAUUACAUGGCAAUGAGCUGGACGGCCUGGCAGUGCUGGCAUUUGGAUAUCUUCACUGUUAAAAAUGUUUUGUUCAUGAGACUCAGUUUGUGUUAGAGACAAAUAUUACAGUAUUGCAAAAACAACUGCUUUGCUCUCUUUGCUCUGCAAUUUACAUCCCCUGUACUUCAUUGAAGAGUAGCUGUAUUCAGCCAGCAAGUCAGCAAUUCCUUGCAGAUCUACUGCAGAUCUGAAAUUUUGGUGUGUGUUUUUCUUUCUCCCCCCCCCUCCCUUCAAUGGUGAAUCCAGUAGCAGCAGGCAGAUAUGUUGUAUUUUGCAUCUCCAUUCACGGAAAAGCUGGAUUCAGUGCUAUCAAGCCAGUUUCCUGUUUAAAUUGCAGUUUUUUGUUGCCCGGGACUGGAAUUCAGAUGAAGCAAGAACCAGCUAUUUCUUUCUGACCUUGACACUUGUUUGCUUUUCUUGGCCAGCUGAAAAAAUGUUAGAACAAACUUGAUGCUCAGGCUCUAGCAGAAUAAUUAAAACUUAGCGCACAGUUUCCUGUCAGCUAUUGGUCACGUUCUUCAGAUAAACAACCCGGUAAAAGAUAAUUAUAAUGCUCUCAGGAAAUCUGCCCGUGGGUGCUGGAAUUGUUGGAUGAAGACCUCUACUCUGUUUUUGUGUGUGUGUUUGUAUUUGAUCAUUGUGGAGAACCUCUCUGGAAAGGUUUUAUUGUGCUGAGUGAAUGAGACCAACUUUUGGCUUCGGUCUUUGUUCUUCCAUGUUUUGUGAGGUACUUUAAAUGAGGAGUGCCUUCAAUGCCUGAACAGCUGCAUUUCUUCCUUCAGGGCUUUUGCCAGUGGAGAACAAUAACAAUAACGUGGAGAUAACUUAAUUAUGAAACGCGUAGAUGUUGUUUCACUGAUUUGAACAAUGGACUGCAGACAUGGGAAUAUGAACCAGUGAAGCAAUAAACAUUCUUCUAAUAAGGGAACGUUUACAAAUGAAGUAGCUUUUAAUUUCUGUAUUUCUGCACUGUGCUGAAGAUGUGGUUUUAUGCCUUGGAUUUCAGUAUGUUUAUGUCACAAAGGUCUAUGGCAGUAGUUUAAAUAUUUUGGGGUUGCAAAGGCCUUAUAAGGAAAUGUAAGAUGAUACAAACCAUUCUUUCACUUGCGCUUUCUGAUUAUUUAAUGCAUACAGAAACACAGUUCACUUCGGGUUUGUGAAAGCCAUUAAUCUAAUAAUACCAAUAAGAAAUGAGUCUUUUCUUGAAGUUACCCGCUGUGCAGUUAAAACUAAGCUGGAAUAUAAAUGGAUGUUUUUGCAAUCCGGGGAGUUAUAACGUAGUAUCACAUAGCCUAGCAACAGCUCGGUAUCGGCAUAACUCACUGCCGUAACGAGCUGUGAGCACAUAGGUGUGGCAGGAAAGUGUAUAAGCUAUUGCAAGCAAAUCCCCAAAUUUGCAUAUGUUGUUUUCAUUUACAAUGCUAAUAGAGAUGACAAACAUUAUUAACUCACGGUAAUUAAAGUGCACGUCUAACUUUAUGACAUCUCUGCAGUUUGCUGUACUUUAGGUGGCAAGAAGCGUUAUAAACUCUGAAAAAGCCGUAGAGAGAGGUUAAUAGAAGCUACCGAAUACAAUUUGGGAUUUAAAUGUGGAAGCCCUUAAUAGCAUUACUGUUUCUCUUAUUCAGAAAUUUCCAUAUAUUUCAUGGUUUCUAAACUACUUUUCCGAGUAUGCGUGUAUACGUAGAUUCACGGUGAGGGGAAACGCUUUAAAAUGACUGUUCCAAUGAAUGUAGACAAUAGAUGGGUCCAACUCUUUCUAACGAUUUAAAGUUGUUAUUCAGUUAAAUUAGACCUCGUGGCACUGAUACACAUCUGGUCAUUACUUUCUUUUGGCAGGGUUUCCCCAGCAGUUUGCAUUCAUUAACAGCUACCAAGUGACUCUUAGAAAAUAAUUAAAAUUUCGUUUGAUCAUAUUUUUAAUAUGAUGGCUGUAUUGUUGCCGGUAAGUGAAAUCAAAUGCUUGUUAGCCACAAAAUCUCUGCAGAUGAGUUUCACUGUAUCAGACAGAGAAACUGUUGGUCUUGCAGCGAAAGCUCUGGAGGCUGUUUGUAAAUACACUAAUGGUGUCCUCUGUUUCUUCCUAGCAGUAUACUGUUCACUACAGAAAUUGAAUGGUGUUGACUACUGAAGCCCUUGAAAAUUUACAACAUCUUUUUGAAUGACUUUGCUUAAGCAAGCAAAAUCCCUGCGAUCAAUUAUGUAUGUUUUUUUUUUCCCCGGGUUUCUGUUCUUCCCCUUCAGCUAGAAGACACUUGACUUGGUUUUGUCACUGGAGUCCAUCUGACUGAGGCACAACCGUUUGUCUCUUUUAUGUAGUGCGCUGGCGUCUAGCUUGCAGUGAUGGAGCUGUUGGUGCUGCUGUAUGAUGGGAAGCUGGGACACAGACAUGCACCAGGUUGCAGAGGAAGGAGAUGUGUGUGCUUUUUUUUUACGUUCUAGGGAACCAGUGCCAUUUGUCUUACCAGCUUGGAAGUGGUGGUGUCAGCUUUUCUUUAGACCGUUGACCACUUGUGUGUUUGUAAAGAGGAGAGGAUGGAGUCAGCCUCACCUUGAGUAGGGUGUGUUCCCACCAGAGAUGCUCGGUAUAUUCUAGCACUUGCUGUUCUGCAACUCACUGUUAAAGAUAAGGCCUGGCCUGAAAUUCUGCGGUCAUGUAAAUGCAACUUACCCACCCUUAAACUGGAGAUAGCCAGGCUGUAAGAGCUGAGCAAAGGGAAGCCUACAGCCUUUUCCUGUGCAGCAGCAGUUGGCUUAAUAUUUGGUUUCAGUAGUCUUGAGAACAUCAGAGGGUCUGAACUGACUCAGAAUGAAAGGUCAAGUUCUCCAGAAUCCUUUGGCACUGCUUGGUGUCAUAUGCUGGGGAAAAAAGCAUAAGAAAUAGGAUGAGCCUUUGGUGAGCAGCCCUCCUGGGCACUCUCCCACUUUUGACCAUUUUUCAGCUCAGUCACUUCCUAAGCUAGAGGUCGUGUCUGCAUCUUUUUGGUUUCUUAGCCCUGGAUGGGCUUUUCUUGUCUGAGGAUGUCCAUUUGCCUUUCAGCAUCAUUUGAGCCAGUCAGUUGGUGGUGAAGUAAUAAGCAAAUAGAGAGCUUUUUUCACAGUGUUAUAUGCCUUGUUUUCCAGCUGGUAUACAUGCAGUGGGCUCAGUCUGAGUUUGAAAAGAAAUCUUGCUCUGUACUUGCGCAUGAAGAUAAGAUGGCAGCCUGACAAUUAAAAACAAAGGGCUGAUGUCACCCUUCUUGUGCACACCUAAGUGUGUGGUGACUCUGCUGAAGUAAGUCUGGAUUGACACCCAACUGACUCAGAUUAGAGUUUUACUCAUGGUUUGCAACAAAACCAGCUUUGAGCGUGCCUGAACCUCCUGUGAGCCGGUGAUCCCUCUGCUGGGCCUGAGAUGAGAGGUUCUCAUGGAACAAAAGAGCUAUAUAACACUGCCAGAAAGGGGCUACUGGAGAAGACUUCUCUCAUGCAAGGGGUACCAUGCUGCUCCAGGGCCACUGCUUGAAUGUGCCCCUGUGUGAGGCCUUCUUUAGGCUUGUCUGAAUGUGAAGAUGGCUGCAGCUGGGAAACUACCAUGUAUUGGGGUUUAGAUGUGCAGUAACUUGGCCUUUGCUAGCAGCUGCUGAAGGAGUAAGAUGGUGAAACACAGGAUAAAGGCUCGGAGUAGCAUCUGACGUCAGUGGUGCAACUCAGCAAGUUGGCCUUCUGACUUCUCUUUUACAGGAUGCCUAGUAAUUUGGAUCAAAGCAACCCAAUGACAAACCCACCAGCUCUGGGGUUUGUCCAUUCCCUGAGAGAAGUCCUGUCUUCUGAUGGUAUUGUCACCAUCUAUUCUACAUAAAUUCUGAGUUGCAGUUUACUGGACAGAUUCUGAGAAGAGGUGGAGGUAUUAUUAGCACCAUUCAGUUUUGCUGUGUUUGUGUCAUGUUUGCACCAUAAGGCACCUGGCUUAUGUGUCAAAGGACUCAUGUCCUGCAGGAGAAGUAGCUGGGGCCAAGGAGAAUAUGGCACCAUGUGUCUGCCUUUGUCUACCUUGAUUUUUUUUUUCUUGGUUAUACUUACCAAAUUAAGAUGCUUUGAACACUAUACUUGAAUAUUCCUAAUUUUAUUAAAUCUGGUCAAAAGCAUUGAGGAAAAAUAUUUAUGAACUUAAAUCUCAAAUGCUCAAUACCUCAGUCAAGUAUGUUUUUUCCUUCUACCCCCAUAAAAGAAUAGUUUUUCUGAGGCUUUUUUUUUUUUUAAUGGCACAUGAAUCCCGUGAAGUAAGUCGAGUCUGCUUAUGCUUUGUACGUCUGACCUCCACUGAAUGAGUACGUAGAAGGACUGUUCUAUCACCUGGCAGUAGAUGUUGGUAGGUAAGCUGCCAUAGUUUUCUGAGGAGUGUUUUAAGGAUGGAUUGGAGGGAGGAAGGGAUAUCAAAACAUUUGCACAAUUCAGUUGUGUGUUUUGAUUUUGUCAGUGGAGAAGAUAAGCAUCUUUCUCCUAAAGCCUGUCUUUCAGUAGCCUGGAUGUUAGCAUUAAAACAGAAAGUAAAUUCCUGUGCUUCGUGGUUGUUGGAAGAAGCUUGAGAAUCAACUGAAGGUGUUGUAUAAGCUCAAAAGGCAAAUAAAAGAAUCCACAGCGAUGUUAUGUUUAAAAACCUCUCCAAAGUCUUUGGCUAUCUUAUGAUUUUGAGUGCUUGACCCAUGAGAUUUAGUGCUUUGCAUUGGCAGUACUAUAAAAAAUCACUAUCAAGAUUUUUAUUGUGCCUUAUGUUCAAGUUUUAAAUGUACUUUGUUUUUUUUUGGUUAGUGUUUUCAAGUAACACCUUCUUGACUUCAUUAAUUGAAUUAAUCACACGUGGUAAGUUCAGGAGAUACACAGAAACCAUCAGUGGAGAAGUGUAAUGGAAUGAUGAAUGAUAUUUAGCAUUUAGUAGUAAAGUUGUGAUGUCAUAAGGAGUUGUUCUACUUGAUUAUGAGCCCGAUGAAUACUUUUUUUAAUGAAAAAGGCUUUCUUGUGAUUGGUAAAUAGUUCAUAUUAGAUAGUGUAUAUGGUUAGAGGUACAGUACCCAGUAGUAAUAAUGUUUUUCCAUCAAAAAUGUGUGAGGUUUUUUUUACCAUUAGUUGAGUUGUGAGACUGUGACUUCUUUAUACAGCAAGUUUUUCUUGCAAGGAAAUCUUCUCUUCAGAUUAAAAGCAGUGACUUUGAUCAAAGUACCCAUUACCUAAGGAAGUAAAUACGGGUGUGCUUAUCUAAACCUGCUAAAAUCCAAAAUCCUCUGACGUAUUGGCAAACAUUGUAGCUGACUACUGUAAACUUGCCAAAACUAGAUUACACCUACCUAAAAAUGUGCUUUUAGUCAGGCAUCUUCUAUUAGCUUUGUUUAGUAUUCUUACUGAAAUACGACCCUCUUCAUUUCAGUGCAGAUUGCUCCCUUUUUGUUUGUGCUGUGUAUUCAGCACUGAAAAUGAAGCAGCGAUAGAGUGCUAAAGAUAUUAUGUAGUUAUAAAUGGUUUGUUCUGGUAGUAAGGAGUGCUAAGUAAGUGUAGUGCAAGCAGUCAUUUAUGUACAGAGGAAAUAUAAUACUGUGCUGUUACAUCAUGAUUAUUUAGCACUCUCUAAGGUGUGCAAGUAUAUUGAGAAGGAAUAGCUGAGUAAUAAAUGGGUGAUGUGCAGGCAAGUGAAAGUGAUAAAAAGAUAUGUAGCAGAAAAUAUGUGGCUGGUCUUCACCUGCGUGGCUGAGGCAAACUAUGUUUGUGCGUUCGGAAUAAUAUCCCCAAACAUCCCGUAAUUAGUCAGUCAUGCAGUAAUCCAUGCUUAUUUGUUGUGUAACAGGUUUAAGGACUUAUCAGUGUGGCUCAAAUUCUACUCUCAGAGUUAAAGAGUCACAGUUAUAUUGUGCUUCUUGGGUGGAAAAUCUACUUUUCCAAGUGUUGCCCUAAGAAGCAAGGAAGUACUUGAAUUUGCAGAAUAGUAAAAUGUGUGAUAUCAAGCAGCAGGUACCUGCUGAAGUAGAGUUGGUAUGGAAAGCUUGUAGGUCAGUCCCAGAAUCAUAGAAUGGCCUGGGUUGAAAAGGACCACAAUGAUCAUCUAGUUUCAACCCCCCUGCUAUGUGCAGUGUCACCAACCACUAGACCAGGCUGCCCAGAGCCACAUCCAGCCUGGCCUUGAAUGCCUCCAGGGAAGGGGCAUCCACAACCUGUUCCAGUGUGUCACCACCCUCUGGGUGAAAAACUUACUCCUAAUAUCUAACGUAAACCUCCCCUGUCUCAGUUUAAGACCAUUCUCCCUUGUCCUAUCAUGCUCCACCCACGUAAACAGCCAUUCCCCCUCCCGUUUCUAUGCUCCCUUCAAGUAUUGGAAGGCCACAAUGAGCUCUCCCUAGUGCCUUUUCCUCUCCAAGCUAAACAAGCCCAGUUCCCUCAACCUUUCCUCAUAGCAGAGGUACUCCAGCCCUCUGAUCAUCUUAGCGGCCCUCCUCUGGACCCGCUCCAAGAGCUCCACGUCAUUCGUGUACUGGGUGCCCUAGGCCUGGAUGCAGUACUCCAGAUGGGGCCUCACAGGGGCUGAGUAGAAGGGGACAAUCACCUCCCUCUCCCUGCUGGCCACCCCUUUUUUAAUGGGGUACAGAGGUUAACAGCUGUAAGAAUACCUUGCUGAUAUGAGACUCAUCUCUAGGUACUUUAGACCUUAAUUUGGUGUCCUGGAGAGCCCACUUUUUUUUCCCAAUUAGCUGUGAAUUGAAGAAGUGGGGAGAAAACUGCUUCAUUUGGUGGUACAUGGCACUUGAAAUGCAUUUGCUGUGAAGCUUCUUGCUUGUAAUUGUUACCCUGUAAAUGAAUGGAUACCUGUGUUUCAGAAAGGGAAUGACAUGAGAGGUUUGAGCUCCUGGAGAGAGCUGAGCAGUAGUGUUUUUCAGGUGCUUGUUGUUUCUUGUUGGCCUUUACACAUCAGCUGAGGUGCCUGAGGAGAGCUGAGAAGUUUGGUCAGGAUGACUAUACAAGCUCAGAAAGAAGAGCUGAGCCCAGCGUCGCUUCAUUUGUGCUUUGUUUAUUUGCUCAGUACCUGGUGGUAAAUGGAGGCCCAAUAAGAGGUGAGGUCUGGGCAGGCAACAGAGGGUAUUAGUUUAGUUUUGGGGGUCAGAGGAAAAAAAAAAUAUAUAUAUAUUUUAGUUUUGCUUAUUGAUGAAAGAGGGACUAUGACUCUUUGAAAGGUGAAGCUUCACUUUAUAGUGAUAAUUUGCUCUUAGAAAUUAUUUGAAGUCAGAACAUUUGGCAUUGUAUGAAAGUGUAUAAAAGAUCUCAAGCCUCUGGCUUGAGGAACACACACACCACUUAGAACAUACGUAAUAAGUAUUAUAUGUAUUAUGCAUUUGAGUAAAUAAACUCCACAGUGAUGGAUUUCAUUUUUUAAAAUAGUUUUAAACCAUUUAUGGGAAAAAAAACAACAACAACAAAGAAGAACUGGCUCUAAAUGCAGUGUUGAAAUACAAGGUAAUACAUGGGAAACAGAUACAUAAGAAACACUAGGGAGCGUGAAUCAUUGCCCACACAAAAGAAAAGAGGAUGGAACAGUGGAGGUCCCUAGGGGAGACGAAUGGCGGUUGAACCCAACACACAAGGCAUUUGACCUGGGUUUUGGCAUCCUUUGGUUUUUGGGAGAGCAGGAUGCUGCUGGUAGCAGUCCUGCUUGACUAGGCCAGAAGGGAGCAAGCUGUGAGGUAAGGUGACUGGGGAUGAUCAGUGAGUUUUUAAAUAUGGGGUCUGAAAUAGCUGAUGGGGCAUGUGCUGAGGGGCAGCGCAUGCAGAGAGAGGUUUGUGAAAGGGGGAAAGGAAGGAGGCUGUGUGCCCGGAGGCCACAGCUCCUAAGCUUGUGCUGAAAUGACCUUGUGAAUGGGGAGCCAACGAGCCAGGGCCAAAGCUGAGCAAGGGAGAGCCCAAAUGUAAGGAUUAGUCAAAAGGGGCCCAAACAGGUUUGCAAGAGAGGGAGGAGGAGGGGAAGGCGCUUCUGGAAGAAGCAGAGGCACUGGGGAGAGUGGAGAAAGCAAAGACUGAAGAGUGAGCUGACAGAGAGGAGGAGCUGGGGAAAAGUGGCCUUUAAACUCUGUCAGCAGGAUGGGCAUGGCUUGGGAGAGAGGUGAGUAGCGUGGAGCUGCGUGCAGGUGAUCCAGAAGGGAUGUGACAGUCAGUCCGGGCAGCGGCCUGCGUGGGCAGCUGGGGCUCGGAGGCAUGGCGGUGACGAAGGCAGGGAGGAGCCGGCGGGGAGCCGGCAGUGAAGGAGGUCAGUGCCGUACGGGCUGUGCGAGUGAGAUGCUGUGGGCAUAUGCUGCGACGGAAGCUGAAGUGAAGCGUGUGUGUGGCAAUAACAUCGGGCUGACUUCUUCCUUGUCGCAGAGAGCGUGCAUGAGAGGAGGGCGGCUGUGGGGCUGUGUUACAGCCACGGUGCUUUGGAGGGAUAAAGGCUAACUCUGUAAUACCUAGCGAUGCAAACAGAUUUAUGUUCUCCAUGUGUCUCAAGGUGUGUGUGGUUUGUAUUUGUUUUACCCGUUGAUAGAUCUGUCUUGGAAGUUGUAGUGUGUGGAAAAAUAAACAAACCAGCAGCCUGUGCAGCCAGGCCUUGCUUCCCUGCAGGCUUGUUUGCUUGCUACGCUUCCAGGGGUUUAUCUGUUUUCCGUCUCCCUAAUCGUUACUCAGCAUUUGUUUGGUGAGGCUGUAUGGGGCUUCCUCAAUUGGGGAUAGGUUUUGGUUCUUUCCUUCUUUCUGAUCUUAGGAUGCCUGAGAAGGCCAGCAAUGAGCUUAGGGUUGGUUUUGGGGAUAGAUGUCCCUCUGGGCCCUUCUCUUUCAUGGAACAGGCUGCCUAGGGAGGGAAUGGGAUCACCAUCCAUGUAGGUGUUCAAGGAACUUGUGGAUGUGGCACUGAGGGACGUGGUCAGUGGGCAUGGGCUGGUGGCUGGACUAGGUGGUCUUAGAGGUCUUUUCCUACCUGCAUGAUUCUGUGAUUCUGUGUUACUGUGUACCCCACCUGGGUGUGUGUCUGUGGAUUUGGGGGGAAAUUAUAUUCACGUUGUAUGUGAGAGGCUGGCUCAACUGUUUAAAGUCUUUUAUUUCAAAGUAUUUGAUUAAAUGGCAAGAUAAGGAGAGGGAGCAUCUAUAUCUAUUUAUAUAGGAAAAGUAGAGUAUCCCUGAACAGAGUUAUCAGGGUUUAUCUUGUGAUAUUCACUACAUCCCAACCUGCCAAAAUCUGAAUCAUGCUUUACAUUGUGCACUAAUGAGAGCAAAGUUAACAGGAUUGGUAAAAAUGUGCCUAGGAAUCAUAGUUGUAAGCAACGUGUAGAAUCUGUUUGUCUCUUUGUGUGAUACAUUGCAGUGAUGUUACACAGAAAUAGUUCACUUCAUACCAAAAUAAGCCUGUCUGACUGACAGCUGAAAUAUUUGGUUUUGGGUUCAAUUUUUCCUUUCUUAGCUAGGAGUUACAGACUGGGAGGAGCAAUCCCUGAGAGUAGCCCUGCAGAGAAGGACCUGGCAGUCCUGGUGGAUGAAAAACUGAACAUGAGUGAGCAGUGUACCCCUGCAGCUCGGAAAGCAAAUGGUAUCCUGGCCUCCAUCAGAAGAGGGGUGGUCAGCAGGGAAAGGAAGGUGAUUGUCCCUAUCUACUCUGCCCUUGUGAGGCCCCAUCUGGAGUACUGUGUCCAGGUCUGGGGCCCCCAGAACAAGAAAGACAGGGAGCUGAUGGAGAGGGUCCAGAGGGGGGCCACUAAGAUGAUCAGAGGGCUGGAGUACCUCUGCUAUGAGGAAAGGUUGAGGGAACUGGGCUUGUUCAGCCUGGAAACGAGAAGGCUGCGGGGUGACUUCACUGCAGCCUUCCAGUACCUAAGGGAACCUAUGAACGGGAGGGGAAUCAACUCUUUGAAAGGGUAAAUAAUAGCAUGACAAGGGGAAAUGGUUUGAAGUUGAAGGUGGGAAGAUUUAGGUUGAAUAUCAGGGGGAAGUUCUUGACAGAGAGUGCUGGAGGUGCUGAGGUGCUGGAACAGGCUGCCCAGAGAGCUUGUGGAUGCCCCGUCCCUAGAGGUGUUCAAGGCCAGGUUGGAUGGGGCCCUGGGCAGCCUGGUCUAGUAUUAAAUGCAGAGGUUGGCGGCCCUGCCUGUGGCAGGGGGGUUGGAGCUUCAUGAUCCUUGAGGUCCCUUCUAACCCAAGGCAUUCUAUAAUUCUAUGAGUUUUGAAAUCCAGAAAGUUAUUUUGUGCUUUAUAUUUGAUGUACAGCUAUAUCAAGUUUCUUCCCUUUGUGUUUUAGAAAUACAAUUGUAAAAAGAUGGGAAAAACAGUUAUCCUAGGGUACGUAGGGUAACUCAUGCAUUAUGGUAACAUGGCUUUUGUUAAUGCUGGCCAUACCUGUUUCCUUUCCUGUGCUGACAGUGACAGGCCAGUGCAAGACUCCAUGCAUUUCACAGCUGGGUUAAUCAAAUACGUAAUAGAAGUAGCUUUUAAUGCUAAGAGCUGCAGAAAGCUCUAAAAUAAUUUAUCGAGGGAUGAAUCAACAUCUAAGAUCUUCUGGUCUUUAAAACUGCUGGUGAACUUUGAAACUCAUGAGCCCUCCCUUAAACUACUAGGAGUCUUCUGGCUUAUUACCAAGUACAAGGUAAGCUCAUCAUCACAAAUUGUGCAUUAAGUGAUCUUCAGGGGCACUGUGGACAUUAGUGAAGAGAAAGUGAAAAGGAAAAUAUUUCCAAGGGGCUGGAUAGCUGCACAUUUGCCUUCUGUGCUGUUCUCAUCUGUGUUGUGAUUGGUGUUGCUAAGCCAAAGCUGCCUGUGGUUUCAGUAAUGUAGAGGGUCUCAGCUUUGCUGGUUGGGAUCUGUGAUGUGCAGCGUCUGUGUGUUUGGAGUGGGCAUAGUGUGCAUGCCUGAUAUUCAGAAAUGUUGCAGAGAAUGGAAGAGCUGUAAUUGAAUGUCUUAAUUACCUGCUUAAGUUCUUAAAUGGUUAAGAAAGCUUCCUAAAAUAGAGCUAGUCCAUUCUGUUGAGCGCUUUGCAGGAGCUUACAGGACACUACCUACAAAAAAAGUAACCUAACAACUGAGAAUGAGUUUUCGGUGUUGUGUGCUUUGUGAGCUUGGUGUUGCUUUUCAGUGCUAAACCCUGCUACCUCGGAAAGUAAUGUUUAACAGAAUGCUUUUAUGGCUUACUACAUGUAACGAUCCCUCCUUGUAUUUCAGGGCACAGUUCCUCUCUUUCCCCUGCACUCCUCCCCUCCCUUCCUCUUUCACUCUUAUUUUUUUGCAUGCGUUUUGUUGUUGUUGGGUAUUUUUGUAGCUCUCUUGAAAACGGGACUUUGAGAGGUGAUAAGGAAGUCAGCCCCAAACCUUGUUCCAGCGUUUUACAAUUCUUCUAUAAUCUGGGGGGAAAAAGUGAGCAAAUAACUUGCUGGUGUUAGUUCAGAAAUCUUUUUUAUUACACUAAGACUUUAAUAGUCAAACAACAGUGCUGCAAUUCUGGAUCUGUUAACAGGUUAACGCUUGGCAACGCUUAUAUUUAUAAGGUAAUGAUUUUACUGUAGCAAUUUGAGCAGCAGGAUAUAUUAGGUAUAAGAAAAAACAAUUUAUUACCUUGAAUUUUUUAAUUCUCCACAGCUUAUUUCAUAGCAAUGUACCGUAGAAAUAAUCGUUACCUCCCAUUGACCCACUGAACACCUAGCUGUAGCUAGUAAAUUUGCUCUGUAUUAAACACACAGCUUAUUGCAUUCAGGGUCUGCUCCGUAUAAGCCAUUCCAAUGCAGUAUGCAUGUACUGCAGCACUGAUGUUGGUUCCUCCUUGGUGUAAUCGUGUGUUGUGACAGCAGGAAUCUGGGCGCUUUGGACAGUGUAAGUUUUGCUGGGGUAGGGAAUCCACCACUCAGAAUGUUUAUUUUUAGUCACACGCAUGUUGUUCUUGCGUUCAAGACUUGAUGCACGCAGCACAAAGGCGUUCCAAUUUUAGCUAAUGGUAUGGCUUCCCAUUUGAGAUAAAUUAAUCUCAUGGCACUGUGUGCACUCACAGCAGCUGGGGACGUGGUUUGUAUGGAGCUUGAAUUGAUGGGGCAGAUGUAAGAGGGAGAAAGGAGAUGUAUGUGUGAGAUGCACUAGCAUUCUAUGCCAGCUGAUGAUCCCGUUCUUUUGCAGAAAAUAUAAAUAUAUUAAAAGUAAACCUUUUCUUGUGACAGUGCUGAAAAUGAAAGCAGGUAGUUUCCCCUCCCCCCAUUUUAAGAUUAAAAACUGAGCAGAACAUAGUGAAGCACACCGGCAGGAAAAUGCCCUGCCCACCCAGUUUGCAGUCAGCCCCCAUGCUGCAGAUUUAAAAUGGCCAUGUUGCAACUCCCUGCAAAUUGGUUUGCAGUGGAAACCCUAACAAGAUCAUUAAAUAUAAAAGCCCUGUUGGAUGCUGGGUAAGUACUGUGCUGCACAUACAUGUGUGCAUCUCCAUGGACGUGCAUGAAUGGGCAGCAUCAAUGCCAUCGAUUUGAAUAAGAAGGUAAUGUACAGUAUUGAGGUGACUUUGCUGUAUUUGGAAGUGACUUGUGUUUAUUGUGGUAUGGCCAGAGUGGUGAAUGUUUCCUCAGUUUUUAAUUCUUAGCACUUGAAUAUUUUCAAGACACAAAACUAACUCAUUUGUGUAGGUGCGGCCAAAUAAGAGAACAUUAUUGUUAAAUUGAAGUAAAACUGAGUCAUUCAUUGUGGGGUUGGUUUUUUUUCUUUUUUUUUUUUUUAAACUUAAAAUGAGGCUCAUACUCAGAAUUAGUAAUGUACAGCUUGUCAAAGUAAGAGCUUUUGACUUCCCAACAUAUAUCAUUAAUGACCCUAGGAAAAAAAAAAAAAUCACAUCUGCACUAGUUCAGUUCUUAGCUUUUCUAUGGCUGAUCAAUAAUCACAUUGUGUAUUCAUUCCCUCCAGCCCCCCACCCUGCAAGGUCAACUUUAACUACUAGUCUUUAUAUUUCAGAAGAAGGACGUGGACUGCUUUAUGCAUUAAUAAUAUUGGUCUCAGUGUUUCCUUUGGAUCUAAUUUACCGUUACCCCAUCAGAAAUGAGUAACUUGUUUUUCUUUCUUUUUCUUUCUUUUAAUACUUCUAUCAUUUUUUGUGAGAGCUUUUCACUUCUACCUUACGGUGCAGUGUUGAGCGAUCUAAGUAGGAAUUUGACUGAGGAUGCUGAAGUCGGCUACGGUUUUGCUAUUUAAAUGGAUCCCCUCUUUAUUGUAUUGUUGAAUGUGAACAUGACAAUGGGAGAACAACAAUUCCAGGGCUUCUUGUCUGGAUGGCAACACAGCUGGCGCUAUGAGGUCUGUCCAAAUGCGACUGGUCAAGCAUAACAAGUUAGUUCUAAUUAGAAGUUCUUAUUUACCUUGCGUUAGAAAAUAGUUUGAAGCGAACUGGUAGGCGUUUGAAUGAAGUUGGUUCGUUUUCUUCUUGCCUUGUGAAAUUAAUGUUAUUUUUUUGCUUUGUCCCGCAGCCAGAAUAAGUAGUCUCGAAAGAACCUUGCCUUUAAAAUGAGCUUUUUAUUUUGGACUGUAACGUAGUGGUCUCUCACAACUGCUUUAAAAUAAAGGGUUAUUGUGGGUGGUUGUGUCAGUGUUACAUAUCACCACUAGAUUAAGUCUUGUGAUGGUGGCAUUUUGUGAUUUCUGCGUUGUUGUUUUCAUUCCAUGGAAGUACUAGUGAUACUGGUUCCCUUUUAUUCAUUUCUUCAUAUUAGAGUGGAAAUGUAGUUUGUUCAUAAUGGAUUAUUGAUUGGUCUGAGAACAGCAGAAGCCCCAAGGCCUUGUCAUCAAUGGUACUUACUUUCCCAAUAGUGAAUGCAUCACUUCAUGCAGCUAUUCGCAGCCCCGGUCUGUAGGAUAUAAGCCCGUAAUUGUUAAUCUUGUACAGCGCCGUUUUUAGGGAGAGGAACUCUUCAUUGUCAUUAUAGGAUUUUCCCCCUCAAUUUGUUCAAAGAAUGGUCUCUUUGUUUUGCGAGCAAGAUAAAGCUUGUCCUGGAUGUUAAUGAUAUAUUUUAAUUCAUUGCUCAUAAUACUACAGUGUAGCCAAUAGAGCGCACUGCUUUGUCUCCAGAAGACAAACACGCACAGUGCCCUAAAACACAAAAUAUGUACUGAGUGGGUGACAGCUCCGUGUUUCUCAACAAACCCCGGAGCAGCGCAGGGCAAACUCCCCCCGCCUCCACGCUCCUGCAUUGCUGCUUUAGGAACCACCAAAAACUGGGUUGCGCUGUCCCUAUUGUCCUGCUGGCUUGGUUUUGAGAGAGGUCACCUCGCUGCAGCUGCCUACCUCGAGGUUUUUCAACGGCAGUGAUUUUUAUCUUUAUUCCAGUGUCUUUUUUCCUUGCCCACACCCCCCGCGAAGGGUGCGACGUCGCUUCGGAAAGACCUGACUCUGCUUUUGCAGCCCUGGCUGCUGGGCUGGAGCCGGCUGCAGGAUGCCAUUAGCUCAUGGAGGGAGGAAGACACAAAACCUUCCGAUGCAGUCAGAGGAGCCCAAAAUAAUGUUUCAGUGUUUGAAAGGCAAACUUCCCAGAUGGGAGCAGCUUCCUCAGCUGCAGGGGAUGGCUGGUUUAAAAUGAUUAAACAACAAGUAUUGCAAAAUGCUCCUUAAGGACUGGGUUUUCUAAAACGUAGUUGGAAUAAACUUAGGCCAAUAGAAAUUCCGUGUUUUUCCAGGAGCUUUUUCUUUUUCCUUUCCAGUCAUCGUGUCAAUUUUGGCAGGCUUAAGCAAACUUUUCAGACAGGCUUGUUGUUAAGAUUCGUUCGUAAUAAUUGAGUACAUUUGAAAAUUAGACUUCCAUAACUGUCUUCCAUAACUGGCUCUGGAUUCGCUGAUAGGUUUUCACUGGAUUAGUUUGGAUUACUCUCAGAAAAUCAAUUCAGAGCUAUGUUGCCUUUACCUAAUGGCAACUUUAGUCCCUAGGUCAGAGGAUGUGAGGAUUUCCUAUAAAUUCAGGGAUGGGUUUUACUGUUUAAAGAUACACUUGGUCUUCUACCGUGCAGUAGAGUAUGACUUUGGGGCAGUCUGAGUCUUCAGAAGCCUGGAGAGAUCAGCUCUCUGGGCUGCCCUUCAUCGAAAGAUAUAACUACCUUACAUUCGCCUAUAGAUGUUUGCAUGCAAUGUCCUCUCAGUGCAUCGUGUAAAAGAAUUUCAGUGAGAUUUUUUUGCCUAAGAUCACAACUCACAGUGUUGGUUUUUUGUGUUUUUGUUUUUUUUUUUUUCUCAAGUCACUGUUGCUUUUGGCAGAGAGGCACAAUGGAGCGAUUGCAGUGCCUCUUGCAGAUUAGAAGAGCAGUAUUUCUACAGUGUAUUUGUAUUUCAGAUGUGACUUGAAAUGCUGAUACCCAAACUGAAGGCAUUUGAUUUUAAAAUAUACACGUUGCUUUGUGAAAAGAUUUGAGAGGCUUCCUAAAAUGUAUCUUCUUGUUUAUUACUUGUUGAAGAAUCUUCUCAUCUGCUACAGGAAAACAAAGGAUUUACAGUUUUCUGUAUGUUGGAACAGGGACAAUUUUCUUCUCUUUUUUACUCUACCUACACUGCUCAAGAUAUGCGUAUCUAAGUAUGUGGCAGAAAUGAAUUUGCAAUUUUCCAAUGAGGUAUCUCUCUUUACAUUCUGUUUUUUCCAAGUUUCUUGCCUUGUUUAUUUUCUAUGUAUUUCUUUCUUUCAGUGUUUUCCAAGUGGCACAUAAAGGCCUUGAGAGGGCUGUGUGGCCAGCUGCGGGGACUAAGCGUGUCUCGUCUUCUUUCAGAACAUGCAGGUGGCAUAAAAAGUAGAGUAUCAGGUAAUGCAGAGUGCUCCUGUUUUAUUUAAAGCAUUGUUCCUUGCCCUUUUACCCGUGCCUCACUUUACAACUCAUUUUAGCCGUGAGGACAAUGGAGCCAUGAAGACAGCGGAGCCAUGUGUAUCUGCUGUGGUGCUGGCAGGGCCCAGUGCUCUACUGGGGAAUCAUAGAGUGUCUUGGGUUGGAAGGAACCUCACAGAUUAGCUAGUUCCAACCCCCUGCCACAGGCAAGGUUGCAGACUGCUAGACCAGGCUGCCCAGGGCCCCAUCCAACCUGGCACUGGGAGCCUCCAUGGAUGGCGCACCCACAGCUUCUCUGGGCAGCUGUGAUAGCGCCUCACCACCCUCUUUUUUUCCAAGUUCUUUCCAAGCUCAGUUUUAAUAUUAGAGCCUAUUAGAUGCUUUGGUGCCUGCAUGUUUGAAAUAGUGUCGAUUUACUUUUAACUCCAGCUUCAGCCUCUGCUAGCAGGACUCUCCCUGCCUUGGCAGCCUAGGAGGAAUCUACAGGCUGGAUGCAAAUCUGCUGAGAACUGUGUGUGACAAUUCCAAAGCCUGAAUUUGGACCUAAGAGAUGAAAGGGUACUGGUUACCACCAGAAUUGCUUAGGCUUGAUACCUUGGACUAGCUGGCCAGAUACUAUGUGCAUUUAAAGAGUACUAUUUCAGAGUACUUUCAAAUUCGUAAUUAGGUCAAAAUAUUUUUAUUUGCCACACCACUGUGGCAAAAUUUUACAUGGUGCAAAGGAGUAAACAGUAUGAUUUGGUUUCCUACUCAACAUCUUCCAUCUCUUGUACCAUUUUUUGAUGUUGAAAUUAUUGUCCGAUAAUUAAUGUGGAAGUUACUAAGCAUAAAUUGGUAGAAUUCUUGGUGUAACUUUCCUUGUUUUGUAUGUUUGGUCUCGUGAAUGGAAGCAUUUUUCAAAGUUGUCGUUUUUAUUUUGCAUUUGCUGCUUCUCUCCUUUCUAAUGAACACUAGCUUUGUUGUUCUGCAAAGAGCCCCUCGAAGAGAAUUACGUGUAAGAGGCACUUAGAGGAUGCGAAGUGGGAGUUGAAAGCUGCUCCUGUAUAUCUUUGCCAGUCCGUUUACUACAGCCUAAAGCAGAUCUCCACGUACUGUGUAAAGACUCAGAUUUGGUGAACGCCCAUCCUCCCCUUGGGAUUUCUGUCAGUGGGAGAUCAGACCUGAAAUUCUGCAAGUUUUAAAUGUGUACUAAUGCAAACAAUGCAAAACCACGAACACUCAUUUCAACUUAACGCUAUAAAUUGCAGCACACAAGCCAAGCAAAAGUAUUAAGGCAGAGCCAUUUGUCUCGCAGUAUUUUGAUGAAGAUGAUAUACUUCCAUUAAUUAUUUUAGAUUAAUAAAAUCAUUUGGCAAUCUUUAAACUUUAGCUUAUUUUUCCCCCUCAGGCCUAAUUGAAUAUAGGGCUUGGGGCAUCUCCUCUGAGUGACUGUAUCUCUCUUAUAAGUAAUGCUUUCUUCAUAUCCUCAUUUUCGUAACUAAGCUUCAUUAAUGAAAAUGCUAUGAAUAAUUGAAAUGAAAUAUGUCAUGGCUAAGCAUAGGAAAGCUGUGGCCGAGUAAACAAAGGGACGUUGGAUUUAUACGUGCUUUAAUUGCUGCUUGCAGCAUUCUUGUCUGACUAAGUUUGACUCUUAAAACUCUUUUGAAUUUGCAGACAAGAAACACAAUAGAAAGUUGAAUUAAAAUGAGACCUACAUUAAAAAAAGAAAGAAAGGAAGGAAGAAAGGUUGCUUGUCUAAAAGCUUACUAUUAAGCAGUGUUCUCGGUGGUGUUAAGUGUAGAAGAUGCGGAAUGUAGAAGGCAUCUAAAAUACCCAGGACAGUCUGUCCCCAAGGCUUACUUGUUGUUUCCUCCCCCCCCCUCUCCACAGAACAUUUCAGAAGCAGCUGCAGCUUAUUCAAGUAUACUGUAGCGUGAAAGGCAAAAAGUAUUACCUUGCUGUUUCUUCUUACCAUUUAAUGAGUUUUAGGUCAAGUCUUUGGUUAUGAGACAAUCUGGGUUGCUACUUGGCAGUCUUGCGUUAUGAGUCACAUAAAUGAAAAUAUUACUCUGUGUUGUUUCAUCCCUCAGUAUGCAGUGGAAACCGUGUUUUUAUUUAUGAUUUUGCAUGUUUGUACCAUCUGAUACAGCAAAAACUUCCAGUGGCUGCCAUCCUUUAUAUACUCGGAGUUUGCUGUUAGGCUGCCCCUUCACUUGGUCUUAAAUGACAAAUUUCAGAGAUUAAUUCAGAUACUCUUCUUUGCACGCUUCCUGCUUAUGUGGACUUCUGAAUUUGCGAUCUGAUACAAUUUGCACCCCCCACCCCCAGGCUGAUAUGUUACUUCCAAACUAGUCGUAAUAUAAAAAUGCUUCGUUCAAGAAAUGAAAUUGCAUUUGUGGUACAUCUGUUUUAGAUAUUAUUAUCAGCUCUCUAUGAAAAAAAGUGGUUUGAAUAGAUGCUGUUGAUAGCUUGUAACGUGCUGUACAGAUAGAAGAUGUAGAAAAUCAAACCCAGAAAUGAAUGGUUUUGUAGCAAAUAAGAGGGCUAAAUUAACUUAAACAUAAUGAAGUUAUUCUAUACUGUGUAACUGAGAUGAGCGUUGCAUCAGCUUUACCGUGCUUUUAGUUAAGCUUGCGCUGCUGAUGUGAUUUGGCUGUAUUUACUCAUUUAUGUACUGAAGAGGUUCAAAGGUGAAUACAAUAAGAAACCUUUGUGACUUCAGAUCUGUAGCUCUUUAUUUUUUGAGUCAUAGAUCUCAAAUCAUGGAUGCUGAGUACGUAGUCUUGUUUUUGUUAGUUACGUUUUAAGAUGCUGAUGUUUUCUUAACUCAGUAGUAGUUUGGUGCUGUUCAUUACAGAUCGUCGUAUCCUUUGAUCCAGUCAUGUGGUGUCUGUAGUUCUUAAUGAGGAUAGGAAAGGGAGAAGAUUUUUGUUUUACAGUUGUAAGUGAAAAAGAAGCGAUCUAUUAAAAUCUAACCAUUGAUUUUUUUGCUAUAUGAAAGGGGGAGGGAUGCUGGUGCAUUGCAUAUUGCAUUGCUGAGGCGGAUAAUGACCAUCGUAUUUAACUGUGGCAGAACACAAAAGCUUUUUGACUUUUAUUAAUCUGUUUUGUUAAUCGAAGUUGCUUCUUCCUUUGUUUGUUUGUUUAUGGUUAAGGCUCUUCGUCAUUCAGGUGGUUGCUCUUGUGGUUUCCUGUAUGUCUUGCUGACAUAAAUCACCCGCUUUUAAGAUGAGUUGAUACCUAAGCAUGUUAUCAGUUCACUUUGUCAGAUUGAAACUAAAUAUUAUGUUUGGAGUUUUCUUCCUUAUUGCCCAUCAGGAAAUAAGUAUUAGUUACCUGGAAUGCUUUGUCAGGCUCUGCAUUCUCGUUUUCUCUUUAAUCAACGUACUGAAUGUGCUCAGUUUCUGCGCCUGCUCCGUGCAUGCGACAUCAAGCACAUCAGAACUGUCUGAGAUGCAAAGUAAUGCAGUUGCCAGCAGGAAUAUGAUAUUUGCUAAAGUCUCUAGGAAAGCCUUUUAUCUUUGGCAAGUAAGUAUUUUACAUGAAAUUACUCAUGAUGGUAAAGCCACAGAUUUAAAGUGUAAUAACCCCCUCAAUAAAUGUUUUCCUCAUAUAAGGUGCAUUUUUUAGCCACUUCUGCUUGGUUUUAAAACAAAAAAUAUUUUUAAAGUUCACAUUUGUAUAAGACAACGUGAUGUGAGUUUAUGGAAAUUUAAUUCUUUUUUCAUAGUUUCUUCUUUUUGGAUUUUAUUAAUGGUGCUUUGAAUGCUUGCCAUUGAAGUCUGGAAUAUCAGAGAAGCUGCUGCUUUUUGGUGCAAUAAAUUGUAGCGCGGUAUGCUUUUGAGUGUGG